rnacentral:rRNA from 1 species
AAUCAACGCUGGCGGCGUGCCUCAGACAUGCAAGUCGAACGCGAAAGUCCCCUUCGGGGGAUGAGUAGAGUGGCGUCCGGGUGAGUAACACGUAGGUAAUCUACCUUUGGGUGGGGAAUAACCCCGAGAAAUCGGGGCUAAUACCGCAUAAUGCAGCGGCACCACAUGGUGACAGUUGUUAAAGCGGGGGAUCGCAAGACCUCGCGCCUAAAGAGGAGCCUGCGGCGGAUUAGCAGUUGGUAGGGUAACGGCCUACCAAGGCAACGAUCCGUAGCCGGCCUGAGAGGGGCGGUCGGCCACACUGACACUGAAAUACGGGUCAGACUCCUACGGGAGGCAGCAGUCGGGAAUUUUGGGCAAUGGGCGAAAGCCUGACCCAGCAACGCCGCGUGAAGGAUGAAAUCCCUCGGGAUGUAAACUUCGCAAGAACAGGAAGAAUAAGUAGGGGACAAUACCCCCU